rnacentral:rRNA from 1 species
ACUAAAUAGAUACCCGGGUAGUCCACGCCCUAAACGAUGUCGACUAGGUGUUCGGUGAGGAGACUCAUUGAGUACCGCAGCUAAACGCGUGAAGUCGACCGCCUGGGGAGUACGGUCGCAAGAUUAAAAACUCAAAGGAAUUGACGGGGACCCGCACAAGCGGUGGAUGAUGUGGAUUAAUUCGAUGCAACGCGAAAAACCUUACCUACCCUUGACAUGUACGGAACCCUGCUGAGAGGUGGGGGUGCUCGAAAGAGAGCCGUAACACAGGUGCUGCAUGGCUGUCGUCAGCUCGUGUCGUGAGAUG